rnacentral:rRNA from 1 species
GAUGAACGCUGGCGGCGUGCCUAAUACAUGCAAGUCGAGCGAACGGACGAGAAGCUUGCUUCUCUGAUGUUAGCGGCGGACGGGUGAGUAACACGUGGAUAACCUACCUAUAAGACUGGGAUAACUUCGGGAAACCGGAGCUAAUACCGGAUAAUAUUUUGAACCGCAUGGUUCAAAAGUGAAAGACGGUCUUGCUGUCACUUAUAGAUGGAUCCGCGCUGCAUUAGCUAGUUGGUAAGGUAACGGCUUACCAAGGCAACGAUGCAUAGCCGACCUGAGAGGGUGAUCGGCCACACUGGAACUGAGACACGGUCCAGACUCCUACGGGAGGCAGCAGUAGGGAAUCUUCCGCAAUGGGCGAAAGCCUGACGGAGCAACGCCGCGUGAGUGAUGAAGGGCUUCGGAUCGUAAAACUCUGUUAUUAGGGAAGAACAUAUGUGUAAGUAACUGUGCACAUCUUGACGGUACCUAAGCAGAAAGCCACGGCUAACUACGU